UGGCAACUGUGAUGACUCCUCUUGACUCUGCCGUGUGACAUGGAGACACCAGUCCCUCUAAGCUGACGUUGCCU